rnacentral:rRNA from 1 species
GCACAAGCGGUGGAGCAUGUGGUUCAAUUCGAAGCAACGCGCAGAACCUUACCAACCUUUGACAUGUCCCGUAUGAGUACCAGAGAUGGAACUCUUCAGUUCGGCUGGCGGGAACACAGGUGCUGCAUGGCUGUCGUCAGCUCGUGUCGUGAGAUGUUGGGUUAAGUCCCGCAACGAGCGCAACCCUCGCCCUUAGUUGCCAUCAUUUAGUUGGGCACUCUAAGGGGACUGCCGGUGAUAAGCCGCGAGGAAGGUGGGGAUGACGUCAAGUCCUCAUGGCCCUUACAGGUUGGGCUACACACGUGCUACAAUGGCGGUGACAAUGGGAUGCAAUGGAGCAAUCCUGCGCAAAUCUCAAAAAGCCGUCUCAGUUCGGAUUGUGCUCUGCAACUCGAGCACAUGAAGUUGGAAUCGCUAGUAAUCGCAGAUCAGCACGCUGCGGUGAAUACGUUCCCGGGC